rnacentral:rRNA from 1 species
AAACCAACCGGGAUUGCCUCAGUAACGGCGAGUGAAGCGGCAAAAAGCUCAAAUUUGAAAUCUGGCACUUUCAGUGUCCGAGUUGUAAUUUGUAGAAGUAGUUUUGGGACUGGUCCUUAUCUAUGUUUCUUGGAACAGGACGUCAUAGAGGGUGAGAACCCCGUAUGAUGAGGCCCCCAGUCCUUUGUAAAACGCUUUCGAAGAGUCGAGUUGUUUGGGAAUGCAGCUCUAAGUGGGUGGUAAAUUCCAUCUAAAGCUAAAUAUUGGCGAGAGACCGAUAGCGAACAAGUACAGUGAUGGAAAGAUGAAAAGAACUUUGAAAAGAGAGUGAAAAAGUACGUGAAAUUGUUGAAAGGGAAGGGCAUUUGAUCAGACAUGGUGUUUUGCGCCCUUUGCUCCUUGUGGGCGAGGAUACGCAGCUCACUGGGCCAACAUCAGUUUUGGGAGCAGGAUAAAUCUGUAGGAACGUGACGUUCUUCGGUAAGUGUUAUUAGCUCGGUAAGUACUGCUACUCGGCGUCAGGACG